rnacentral:rRNA from 1 species
GACGAACGCUGGCGGCGUGCUUAACACAUGCAAGUCGAACGAAGUGGCGAACGGGUGAGUAACGCGUAAUCAACCUGCCCUUCAGAGGGGGACAACAGUUGGAAACGACUGCUAAUACCGCAUACUGAAGGAGGGGAUUGCGUCUGAUUAGCUAGUGGGAGGGGUAACGGCCCACCAAGGCGAUGAUCCGUAGCAGGUCUGUGAAGAUGAACGGGCAAAUGGGGACUGGGACAACGGCCCGACAGCUACGGGGAGGAGGAAGGGGGAAGUUUUCGAAAUUGGCGAAAAGCUGAAUGCAGAAAGGCGCGUUGGUGGUAAAGGGCUUCGGGGUGGAAAGGUCUGUUAAGCGGGAAGCGGUACCGGAAUAAGAAGCAACGGCUAACUACGUGCCAGCAGCCGCGGUAAUAC